ACGCUCGACACCUACGGGAGGCAGCAGUGGGGAAUAUUGCACAAUGGGGGAAACCCUGAUGCAGCGACGCCGCGUGGAGGAAGAAGGUCUUCGGAUUGUAAACUCCUGUUGUUGGGGAAAAAGAGGAUGGUACCCAAACAAGGAAGUGACGGCUAACUACGUGCCAGCAGCAGCGGUAAUCUGAGCGGGCUGGCAAGGC
rnacentral:rRNA from 1 species